rnacentral:lncRNA from 1 species
AUGAGAGACGCUGCGUAGUAUUGAGACGGGUUAGGCUGUAGGCCUAUGUUGGAUCGGCGGUCUGUGGACCACCUGUAGUAAUUGAGAUGAAUGGUCUAGUCAAUCGAUCUCUUAAUGAGAGAGUGUUGGUUGUGUCCGGGUGGGUUGAGCGUAGCGACCAUAGGAGCGGAAGCUCGGUCAUACUGCUCAUAUGAUUGGAAUCACCAAGUUUGGUGUUGUCGGUGAGUUGAGAUUGAGUACACAAACGGAGUGUUUGCUGGGACUCAUCGCGAGAACGGUGUGGCGUCGAAGCGUGGCAGAGGAAAAAGAAAAUGUUCUCUAUGAGACAUUGGAUCUAUAGUAGGCCACGUGAGGUGUUGAUGGACUAGGCUCUCAGAUAACUGGGAUUGGUAGAUGUGCCGAAGUGUGCCAUCUCAUUUUGAAGCUGAAAUCCGUGUGCGAAUAGAGCGCUUGCAGUUGAGCGAUGCAUGGUAAUGUCGCAUGAAGCGAUGCCGGUCGAGGAACCAGAGUGAGUUUCACCGAGGAGUGGUGGAUGCAAUGAAGAGUCAUGCAUAGCGAGGUAGACUCUUGAAUGGCUAGAAUGGUAGAGUGCCAUCUUGUGGACUCCUGUGUGGAUCGAGGAGGUCUACCCGUAUGUAAAAUGAAGUGGUGGUGAACCAUUUGAUUAGGGGAUAGUACUGCUCUCGAAGAAAGUUGUGUUCAGUGGCAUUGGUAGGUGUCGUAUGUUAGUAAUGAUUGGUGACGACGCGGAGACCGAUAAGUAGAGUGUGCGAGCAAUGGUUGAUUAAGUGAAAAAGGCAAUUGAAGGGUGCCCAUUUUGGAAUGUGUCAACUGGGAACGAGUUGAAUUAAUGGGACAAUCGAGGCAAAGUAAGUUCCUCGUGUGGUCGACUGUGAGUGGUGUUGAAGCAUGGUAAGUCGUUGAAUACCGAU